GACGAACGCUGGCGGCGUGCUUAACACAUGCAAGUCGAACGGAAAGGCCCUGCUCUUGUGGGGUGCUCGAGUGGCGAACGGGUGAGUAACACGCGAGUAAACUGCCCUUGACUUUGGGAUAACUUCAGGAAACUGGGGCUAAUACCGGAUAGGAGCUACUGCUGCAUGGGGGGGGUUGGAAAGAUUCGGCGGUUGGGGCUGGACUCGCGGCUUAUCAGCUUGUUGGUGGGGUAGUGGCUUACCAAGGCUUUGACGGGUAGCCCGCCUGAGAGGGUGACCGGCCACAUUGGGACUAAGAUACGGCCCAGACUCCUACGGGCGGCAGCAGUGGGGAAUAUUGCACAGUGGGCGGAAGCCUGAUGCAGCAGCGCCGCGUGCGGGAUGACGGCCUUCGGGUUGUAAACCGCUUUCGCCUGUGACGAAGCGUGAGUGACGGUAAUGGGUAAGGAAGCACCGGCUAACUACGUG
rnacentral:rRNA from 1 species